UACGUAGGGGGCUAGCGUUGUCCGGAAUUAUUGGGCGUAAAGAGCGUGUAGGCGGCCGAGUAAGUCCGACGUGAAAUCUGGAGGCUCAACCUCCAGCGGUCGUUGGAAACUACUCGGCUAGAGUCCGGAAGAGGAGAGUGGAAUUCCUGGUGUAGCGGUGAAAUGCGCAGAUAUCAGGAGGAACACCGAUGGCGAAGGCAGUGAUCUGGGCCGGAACUGACGCUGAAGAGCGAAAGCGUGGGGAGCAAACAGG
rnacentral:rRNA from 1 species